AUGCCUCCGGACGGUGACGCGGAGCUGGCGGCGGACGAGCUGCAGAGCCUCAGCUUCGGCUCCUCCGAGCGCUCCCGCUCCGCCUCCACCAUCUCCACCGCCAUGGCCUCCUGCUCCACCUCCUCCUCCUCGGGGCCAAUCGCCGGCGUCCCCGCGUCGCGCUCCUCCAACCCCUCCGCCCUCGCCCUGCACCUCGGCACGGUACAACUCUCCAACAUCCGCUUCGUGCGGCGGCUCUGGGCCGGGCACAUCGGCAGCGUCUACCUGGCCGAGGUGAAGGUCAAGGGCGGAGCGCUGGUGGCGGCCAAGGUGCUCCAGGGCCGCAACAAGGAGGGUUGCGCGCGCACGGAGCGCGAGAACCUGACGGGGGAAGGGGGAAAUUGGUCAAGGGCCUCACCGAGGUGCUCGACGAUGAUCUCGAGAGGUCGGGGGUGGCCGGGGCGGAGCGAUGUGACGAGGUGGACGGGGGACGCCGAGGUUGGGGAAGACGACGAUGGCGACGAUACGGUGCAGCUCCGAUCGAUUGAGAACUCGUAG
rnacentral:rRNA from 1 species